CCGUACCUUGAGGUGAGGAAUACCACCGAGAAAUCGGUGACAAGACCGCAUACGCUCUCUCACGAGAGCAAAGCUUCUCUUCGGAGAGGCGCCCCAAGAUGGGCCUGCGCCUGAUUAGCUAGUUGGUGAGGUAACAGCUUACCAAGGCGACGAUCAGUAGCUGGUCUGAGAGGAUGAUCAGCCACACUGGGAUUGAGAACGGCCCAG
rnacentral:rRNA from 1 species